UACACCUAGAAGAUUUGAAUUAUCUAAUUGAGUGUUUGCAACAGCCUUUUGAAGAAGUUAAGAAAGUGGGUCUGUUUCCUUUCUUUGAACAAGUUGAGUUAUUUGCUGGGCAACUCUCCAGUGUUACUUUUUCCAAGUUGCUUGACAAGUUUGGGGAAAAUUGCCGUCUGGAUGGAUCAUACUUCCUGUGUCGCCAUGACCAUAUAAAGAAGGUAGCAAAUAUGUUGGAGAAGGUCCAAGGAUUAUCUCUGGAAGAUCGGUUCAAUUUUUGUUUUGCUCCUGUGAACAUUAGAGAUCCAAAAGCAAUGUAUCAUCUUCUUAGGUUUGCUUCAGCUUACAGUCAAAAAGUGCCUGUCAAUAUUGCCAUGGGCAUGCCUAAAGGAUCUGCUACAAAUGAUUCAGAACUCUUGGAUCUUGAGAGCAGGCAUCAAGUUUUGUCUAUGUAUCUCUGGUUGUCUCAUCAAUUCAGGUCUGAAAGUUUUCCAUAUGCAGAGAAGGCAGAGGCUAUGGCAACAGGCAUUGCUGAAUUGUUGGGUGAAUCACUUGCUAAAGCCUCAUGGAAACCUGAAUCAAGGCAGGCAAGUCAAUCAAAACCCAAGAAAAAGGAAGAAGGAUAUGAGAGGCCAAUGUCACUAAUCAAAUCAUAUGAUAAGAAAAAGAAAGAAAAAGAGUUAUUGCAGAACCAUAUGGGAAAUGUAGCAGCAUAAUGAUCUGCCAUAUACAUCUACAUAUUAAAGAGAUCUUAUUCCUUUGAUGGGAAAUUGUUCUCCAUGGUGAUCAGCUAUAUAAAUUGGAUUCCUUGGACAGAUUGUCCCUUUACGUGGUGACUAUAAAUCUAUGUUGUACGGUUAGUUAUCAUUGAUGUUAACUUUAGAAGUGCUAGGAAUGGGGUUUUAAAUGCCACAUUGCCCAAGAGCUUCAGAAUUUUUUUGCUUUGGUUCUUGCAAAAAUCCAAUGUUUUGCAAGAAUUUUUCUUUGCUGCAUUUAAUUAGAAUUUGUGGGGUCAGAAAAAGUGCGAAUGGAAAUCCAAUUUCAGAAAGACUGUGUAAGAGAGAAAGGUGCUUAAGUGUGAGUGGAGAUGCAGAUCAAGUUUUCAAAGAAGAGAAGAUGAUUUGAGUGGAUUCUUUUUUCUAUUCAUUUCGGUGACAGGUUGCAGGGGGCAAUAAACAGCAGUGACAGAGGUAGAGGGAUAAGAUGUUAUUUAAUAGUCUGGGUGGUGGGUGAAAAGAGAGCAAAGCAGAUAUAGAAGCUUGGAGAAAAUUCCAGAGAGGGAGAGGUAGAGAAAAAGAAAUCGAGAGGAGAGAUGGAGACUUUUUGGUGUUUGUGAUAAGGAUGGAAGAGAAAAGACGAGAGCAAACAUGAUGUUUCUCAUUCAGAUCCAUCUUCGUCAGCUGAGUUGUGGAAUCACAAAAGCAAGAACAAGAAAUGCAAGGAAGAGAAUGCGAAGAUGAAUGGCUGAAGUGGGUGCCCAGUCAUGGAUUUAUUUGCCUUUGGUGUUUGCUUUCCUUCUCUAUUUUCUCCUUUUGUUUUUGGUGAUUGUUUGUUUGAUUAAAUGGAGGGAAAGAGAUCUUAGGCAAAAUCAAGAGAAGGUAAGAAAACUUUUACAGAAUUUUCUCGCAACAGAGACAACCACUGGAGGCAGAUGAUGGGCUUGGAUUAUUUUUUCCGAAAACAAAAGACAAGAAUUUGUAUGGCAGAGGAGGAAGAUGUGUUCAGGUGAUCAUUAACAAACUAGGAGGGGGGUCAAAGCAAACCCACAUCUCUGCUUGCUGAACUCCAAGCUUUAUGUGAUUCCUCUUAGAACUAAGAUGAUGCUUGUGAGAAUUAGAAUACUUGAGUCACGCAAUGAGUACUUGAAGUAUAAAUUGGGGCUGGCCUGCAAGUUUUCCUUUUCCUUACCAUUAAAGCAUGAUUCAAGGAUCAUACAAUCUGUUUGUUGAAAUUCCUACAAACCAGUGUGGAUGUCUGUGAUUGCCAUCUCUUGACUUGUAACUGAAUACUCGUACAAAAUGAAGCUUGAAUAGAUUUUAUCUUGAAGGA